UAGAGAGUGGGUGGUCCCAUAGGGGGUGUUUGCUUCUGUAUUUGUUCCAUUUAAGUUUUGUUGUCCGCACGCCAACCUGUAGGGUAUCUAUCUUCACCAUUGUUUAGGGUACUGUGAUUUGCUUCCAGUGAUUAUUUAGACGUGUAGCAUCUGAGUGUUGUUUCUCUCUCCUUUCAUCUUUGCUGCUGUCCAUUCUCUUAGACGGGUUCAGACAUAAAAUGUGAACAGACAACCCUAUGUAAGGAACACAACAGCUGUGACUGAGUUCAUUCAAAAUGCAGUUCUUGCUUUUGCUCACUGGAAUGGUUUCUUGUGAAGAGAAUUAUCUUCUGUGGGUUUAGUAAUCCAGGGGGGAAAUGCAUGCCGACAAUCAUCAGAAAAACCUUGAACAUCGCUACGAAGGGAAACUCAUAAGAUCGUAUACCAAAUAGAAGAAACGAACCUUUACUUUGCACCGUCUCAGCUUCUUAUUCACCAGCACAAAAAAGUGAGAACAUCUUCGCUGGAUUUUUUUGCUGCUUUGUAAAUGUGUGUACAGUAUGGCCUGAAACCCUGCCUGUGAAUAUACUCCCACAUAGACCUAACAGAAAACUUUCCAGAUUUUCCAAAAGCCAAGACACUUGAUCCGACUGAUGGGUCAGCUGAAUUCAUCUCCAUUCUCUCCAACUUUAAAGUUCUUCUCGAAAUAGGCUUUCAACCAACAUGUCAACGAGCAGCAAGUCACCAAGAUAAAAUUGUCGCACAAGCACACCCAACUUUAAUGUUCUUCAUAAUAGAAGUCAAGAAACUUGAGAAUGCUACUCCCUCCAUUCACAAAUAUAAGAUGUUCCAACUUUUUUCUAAAUCGGAUGUAUAUAAACACGUUUUACUGUAUUUGUUCAAUCAUUUCAGUCCGUAUGUAGCCCAUAUUGAAAUCCAAAACAUCUUAUAUUUGUGAAUGAAGCACAUUCUAAAUUUUCGCUGAAAAUUGCAUCUACUCACUGAAAAUGUUUUAAAGAUGAAAGAAAGUAACUUCAGUGGUUCAUUAAAAUAACUUGCAAUCAUGGCAAAAACUAAGUGUGAUACCAUAACCAACAUGUACUUUUCUACUGUUCUGUUCAGGUAGAUGCUUGUUACUUUGAGAUCUCCCCAUCAAGAUGAGUCAGCGAACCUGGCCUUAAUCUGAGAGCAGAUACUAUUCCCCAAGAAUAGGAUGACAUCCAAAAACUGAGGUGUUGAUUUGAUGGAGUCUUCCAUUUCUUGUGAAAUACUACAUCCGUCCUGGUUUACUAGUCCCUCUCAUAUUUUAGGUCAUAUUUUAGGUCAUAUUUUGACCAUGAUUUUGACUAAUAAAAUAUAAAUUAUACAUAGCAAAAAUAAUAGCAUUGAAAAUUACAUUCAAAUACGAAUAUAACAAUAUAAUUUUUGGUGACAUGACUAUUUUGGGGUCAAAAUUUGACCCAAAAUACAAUGGGGCCUAGUAAACCUAGACGGAGGUAGUACCUGAUUAUUUCUGACCUAGUGGCGAUCCCUGUGCCAAAAAGGCCAAAGCUGGGGUUGCGGUUGCUGAAGUGUGUUUGUUCUAAACUUAUCUUACAAAAUGCCCGUGGCAAAAUGGCCACAAACACAUGGAAAAGUUGAUUAGUCAAAAGGUAAAAUACGCAAUAGUUAGACAAACGAGAUUAUCAUAAUAUGUCAGGAUAAGUGAGAAAACCUCUGGGUUUUUCGAGACAAAACCACCCAUCCCAAGGCCCUGUGUCGUCUAGCCCUAGGUGACAUUGGUGGGGACCCUAAUUGCGCCACCACUGCCCCCUCACCUGCACCUUUUCCCUCGCCGCCGCCAGUAGCCACCAUCGGGCAAAGCCCAUGCGGUGAUGGCGGUGGCAAGGCUUUCUCCUGAGGCGUGGCGCUCGGCCCUAUGGAAAUUUGGUGGAGCCUUCGUGGGUCUUCAAUGGCACAUUGGCGGCACGGGUAGUGCUUCGAUGGUAGUGGGCACGGAGUCAGCUGGUUGUGGGGGUGCGCGCCGCGAUCGCAACCUGGCUGGCUUGUAGGUCGGUGGAGGCGUGGUUGUGUUGUAGUGUGUGGAUGUGGGGGCGGCCAGAUCUGGCCUCCCCAUGUUCGGCAGCUGUGGCGGCGGCAAGGCGGGCGGCAUGGUUAUGGUCCAGUGGUCUCCAACAAGGGCAGUGGAUGGCUGAGUGCAACUCUCAUUCGCUUGGGAGGCACGCCAUUGUUGGUGGGUGUUUCGACGGUGACUCACAACGUGUCACGUUUGCGCGUUGACAAGGUGGAUCUCGGCCAGCUUGAUCAUGUGAUGUCUGGCUUCCCGCGUUGGUUCCCAGCCGGUGUGAUGGGAGGAGUGCAUGUUCUUUAGCUUGUUUGGCUCCGGACUCCUACUUGUCAUCCAUUGACAUGGGUAUAGGCGGUGGAGCGCUCAAUUGAGCCGACAGUGGUGGUGCGUGCAACUUUGCCAUCAGGUUUCACACGCCAUGCUACCCAUGCAUCCCGCCCACACGACAUAUAGUCUCUAGUGGAUAUCCAUUGUGUUUUGGUGAUGGUCGGGGUGUGCCUCAAAUAGGCGCAGGUGUUAGCAUGUUCAAUGUUGUCUGCGUUGGCAGAUCUGGCGUCUCAGCAAAUGCCCGAUGUGUGGAGUUCACUCUGAUCUGUGUUUCCAUUGCUGAUCAAGACAUUACAGCAUGACUUCUCUUGCAAGUUGGUGGCGGCAACCCAGGGCACUUCGUCUAUGGUGGUGCUCUUCGAGUACCAGGUCUCAAUUUUCGAGGUGAAAACCCUAUGUCUCAGUUCUUCUAGUAUUGUAGUUUCAGUUUACACUCUCUUGUUGAAGGCACGCCAUGAAGCUUAUUCGAUCUUUCUCUUCUAGGUGAAAACCCACAAUCUGGCCUAUGUGAUUGGUUCAGUCGACGGCGUUCAUGCACCGUCUCCUUGCUGAAAGGCAUUGUUGUUGGGGAACCUUGUCGUCGUCCAGGUAUUGUCAAUAGGGGCGGUAGCAGUUUGAUGCUAUGUUGCAGCCCGGAACCUUAUCGGUCCUUUUUUCUUCCUUUUUCUUGUUUGCCAUGUGCAUCCUUUGUCGUGCAGAGGUCGAGUAUGUACUCAUUGUGUUUGUAUCCACUUGAUGCGACAUCAUGAGUCAAUAAAGUACGGCCUUUGUCAAAAAAAACUAUCAUAAUAAACCACAGUGCGAGAUGGAGCCUAAGGCAGGCAUGAAAUGCUCCAGCCAGUAGUAAUUACCUAUAUUAGACUUGGGAGCUGCCUGUCGGUGCCAUAUUAAACUGUAUCGACCGUGCACUUAACUCAUAUACCAUUGGUACAUUAUUUAGAGAGCACCCCACCACACAGGUAAACACCAGACACCACCUACUCCCACUGAGCAUCUCUUCCUGCAGAUGCCCUCCUGCAAGAUGCAAAACAACUAACCAGACCAUUCUUCUCCCAAUAUAUACCUCCUUCUUCACCUCUAUCUCAUCACCCCUGGUCUCUUCCCUGGCUCCUAUAUCUACCGCAUGUCGGUCUUGCUAGAUCUAGCUUUUCUGAACACCACAACUCACUGCUAAAUAUGUCACAUAUUGAUUGGUCAUGUUCUUCAUCGUGUCCUAGAUCUCAAGUAUGUGCUUUUAGACUUCUGCGGGGCUUACGAAAGCAAAAGAGUGGGAUUAGCUUGGUGUUAUUUUCUUGAUUUACUGAUGCAAGUGGUAGGCUCAUUCCUGAUCUGAAGCUUUGUUUUGCUCCCUUCUAGAUAGGAGAGCAUGGGUUAAUUGCAUGCGAUAUGGGCAUGCGUGCAUAGCCCACAUGUGUUUGUCGAUGUGUCUCCAUCUACCUUUACUUUCCAUAGUGAUUUGAUGAUAGGUUCAUGGGAUGUGUUUGUAUUGCUUGGAUCGAUCUUGCAUCAAUCUCAGUAUAUAAGCCUAUUGUUGUUUCUUUCUCUCUUGGGCUUUUCGCCAUGCGUUUGUGUCGAUCUGAAGUUCUGAACAUGAGAUUAGGGUUUUCGACUUUAAUUGGAGUUCUUCUGCAAGAUUAAGAGCUGAGUACUGAUUGACUUGCGGCGCGGUGUUUUCCCAGUGACCUCUCCUUUAGAAUCUUUGAUUGAAAUGUUCAGAUCAUGAUCAACAUACCCUGGUACACUUUCUGCAAGACCUACAUCUGUUUUGAAUACCAUCUCCUGUGGAAAUUAGUAGUGCGCAAUUUCUUUGAGCGGACGAAUUAAGGUAGCUUCAUGCUACAAUCUAUUAUCUUUAGUGGAUUUUAUUAUCUGGCAACUUAAGCCAACUGGUUCCUGCUGAGUAGAAAUUAGGCUAGCUGAUGUUUGUCAAUUAUAUCUAUUUAUUCUAAUUUUCAUGUAUUCAUAUAUAGCUUAUUCUAAUUCAUUCCUCCACAAACGGAAUCUUAACUUGAUUGUGCCCUUUGUUUGAAGUCAUUUAUUAGCCGGUUGUUCUGUUAUUUCUUGGGGAAAUCCAUUUUCCUUCAAGAUUUCCAAUUCUGGUGCAUGUUUAUCAAGGACACCAAGUUAAUUAUUUGUAGCUAGCUUGUGUAGAUAGAUAUCUUAUUUCCUUAAUUAUUUUCUAUUAAACAGUGGCCAUCCAAGACUGUUAACCAGCUGAUGUAAAAAAAGGCACCUGAUUUCAUCAGUACAUGCAUAACCAUGUUGUUAACCUUCUAAGCCUAUCUAAUGGUAUAAUGCGAUUUUUCCUGGGGAAAAAUCUUCUGUCUACCCGUACGGAUGGCUAUAUCUCUCUUUAGAUGCAGUCUUUCCCUCUCGAACACUCUGUGUAGACGCAGUUAUAUAUAUAGCACCAUCAAUAUUACUUGCAGUUCUCCAUCUGAUCUGAAAGGUCUUAUAUUAAUUUACAGAGGGGGUACAAAUUACUUACUGUUUGUUGUAUUAGUUGUUGAGCCAUUAGCUAGUUUUUUGUUGGAAAAAUGCAGGAGUAGCAGCAGCAGGAUGAGGAUGAUGAUGAUGAUGAUGAUGAGGAUGUAUUAGUUUGAGGGAGCUCACUUCAGUCCACUCAUGGGAGGUAGCGGGGAUUGAACGAGCUGCCGACUCAUUCACUCGAGCACACAGUAGAUAUGAGACUAGUCCAGGGCUUACCAGUAUGUUACAAUAUUUACUGUGCGAAUGAGCGAAUGCAGCGGGAGAUUGUUCUCUCUUUCCUCCUCCAUGCUUGGACUGAAGGGAGCUCCCUCAUCUCUCAUCAGCUUCAUCAGGAAUAUGAACAGACCGUCAACAAUAAUCCAGAUUCUGGUACUACUUCCCCACGCGUGAAUUUUAUUUUCCAAACAUUCAGCUAAGAUCGCUGUUCUAAUGGCCGAGCCUUUUUCUUGUGCUGGCUUUGAUGAUCAAUUCAGAGGCUUUGCUAAUCAUGCAUGCAUGGGCUGUUAAUUAAAUCAUAAUUUCUCACCAGCAUAUUGCAAGGGUUGUCUUAGGGCUUAAUUAGGUCAUCAUCGUGCGCCUUACCUAGCUCUUUAGAAUACACAGGCUACGGUGUGUAGAAAAUAUGCAUAGCUAGGGUCAUAGGCUUUCCAUUAAGGUCAACACAGAACCUUAAAUUAUCCUCCAACAAAGCAAGCACAAAGAUACUUGGAACUUGUCAUGCCUCCCGGCUUUGUGAUCUCCACCAUCAUUUUAUAUUCUCCUACUUGCAUAUCUAGGUGUGUCCUGUUGGCAGAAAGUUACCUAAAUAAUCAAUACUCACUAGUUAUUACUAAUGCCUAAGUUUUUGUUUGAAAUUUAUACAAGAGCAACAAUGUGGUUAUUAUGUUUCUUCUAAUCAACCGCAGCACAUAUCUUGUUCUAAUUUUCUUAAGAAGAAAAUGAGAUCACUGCAAGCAUGUUAGUGGCCACCAGAAUAUCGGACACACGGAUGCACUUAGCAUUACGACUAGCAACAUCUUACACCAUCAACAUAUUGCAGGUUUAACAGAGGGAGGGGGAGGAACUGACCUGACAAUACAUGUUUGGGUAUCUGCAAAUUCAGGGCAAUAAUAGCCUUUUCACAUGCUGGUGUGGUGAUGGUGGCCUGGAAGAAAGGAAGCCCUUAAAAGGAGAGAUCAAGCUAGCUAGCACUGAUGCUCCCCUCAUGCCACGGCGUAUUGUAUAUGCCCUCCAAGUACAGCAGCAAGUGCGUCUGCUGCUCUACUUUUGAUAUACUCCUCUAUGCUGCCCUUCCCCAGGUGUUUCCUCUCCCAUCUAUGGUCUGAUGUUAAAGUACAAUAUGUUCAGGCAUCGCAGCGCGUGCCCCCGUAAUUAACUAGUGCCAUAUGUUCUGAUGUCGCAGUACAAUUCAGCUCUUUCUUUAUGCCUGCACAUGAAAUCUUAGACCUAUCAAUGGCCGACCUCCACUUUCUCCAAGAGCAUAUAUAGUGCCAUCGUCCUUCCUGCAGAGAAGAUGAGCGUGAUCAAGGCAUCAAGCUUGUACCAUCAAAUGUUGCCUUGUUCUGGAAGAAUUUACAGAUCAAUGUCUAUCUGUCUAGAUUUGGAACAUGCUAGAUAUCUCAGAACUCCUGUUCAUGCAUAACAAUAUGGCGCAUGAGUUUAUCUAUCUUCCGGUAACUUCCUCCAUCAGGCAGCCAGAAACGCUUGCAUACCCAUGGACACUGGGACCGAUUAGAGGGGUUCAAAUCACUGCUGAAUCGCACAAACCCCCUUUAUUGGCAGUAGUAUUCUCAAGUAGUGGCAGUUCAUCAAGCACAGGAGCUAUGAUCUCAUCAUUCUGCGUAUUGGCAAUCAUCUGCAAUAAUACUAUGCCGAACCCACUGCACUGCCACCGGUCACAUGCUUCAGAAAAGGGCCUGUAAACGGUACAACAAAAUCAAUAACCACUGGUCAUCCUACACUGUAACGUUAUCACCCCAAGCGUGUACACAUCAUUACUGGGACACUACGUCUAGUAGAGAAAGAAAAAAUAUAGCAUGGAGAAUUCAUCUACUAACGAAAAGAAAGAUCCUACAGUACUUCUUUAUCACUUGGUUGUCAAUUUGCAGAUACACUGACCUGAAAAUCACUGAAGAUAGUCACAUACUCAUAUGAACACAUGUAUCUGUACCCGGGUGGUCUUCUUUGUUUUGCUGUUAAGGGUUAGAAGUAGACAAGUAGACUAAUAUAAGACUUUUUAGAGGGAGUAGUAGAUAAAAUAUUAUUGACUGGACCUAACUCAAUUCAGUCAUCAAACACUCUUUCUAAGGCGAAACUUGCCUAUUUUACCAAUUAAACACUCUUCUAUGGCGAUUAAUACCUAUUUUACUAAUUAAAUGCUCUUUUAUGGCCAAAGUCACGCCUAACUCUAAAUGAAAGUCUCAACAAAAAUGAACUAUACUAGGUGUGUAAAGACAACAAAAAUGGUUACCCUAAUUCGUUCAUUCAGUAAAGUUGUAGGAGUUGGGAGUUCAUAUGGACAAUACGCAGCUUACACAACAUAAUUUGACAUGCUAUACAUAACAUAGGGCCGUCAACACAAAAAAUUACCAUUCUUAUUGUGGAUUCAUCAUUCGCCCUCUGAUAGCUACAUUGUGAUAUUUCUCAAAAAAGAAAAAGGAUAGCUACAUUGACACAAAAUGACGCCCAUCUAAAUAGGGCUGGACUAACGAGCUACUCGGCUCGUUAAGACUCGGCUCGUUAAGGUUCGUGAUCGUUAAAGCUCGGAUUGUUAAGCUUGUUAAGGAUAAUGAGCUAAAUAUAAAGAUUGGCUCGGUUUGUUAUAAAUACAUCAGUAAACAAGAUACAACACAUGCAUAUAAUUACAAAUAUAUAUAGGUCCAUCUAGUAGGAUUCAAUAAAUCGAGAAGACGAGAAAGAUGUGAAUGUGGCAAAUAGCCCGUCCAUAGACUUAGGAGUGAUCGAAGUCAUCAAAAAAUUCUCUAUAAUGAACAAAAUCAUGCUACUACCGAGAUUAACGAGUAGCUCAUGAAACUCGCAAUCUUGAUCGUUUCACUCGUUAGUGUUAAUGAGCAAAAAUUGAUGCUCGCCUCGGUUCAUUAAGAAAACGAGCCGAGCUCAAACGAGUCGAGCAGUCGAGCGCUCAUUAGACUCAUCGAGCUUCGAUCUUUUUGUCCAGCCCUACAUCUAAACGCGCAUUUGAGAAAAAAGUUAUGGCCACAUUGUCACGGUGCUAAUCCAUUUGCUAGAUGAGAUGGAAUUUGAAUUAAGAGUGCCAUGGCGAAUUCCAGCGACAAGACCUAGCCGUUUUCGCAGUCAGAAAACGUAACCAUACAAAUUAACCUGGGCCGCGAGUGCCCAAGGGGGGGAGAAGUGAGAAGAGAAGAUUACUACGACCAUGGUGGCACGGUCGUGCCCGGAGGCGACGGAGGUGGCAGGCGAGCCGCGCGGGCCCCCCUCGCCCGACGGCUGGUGGGCGGCGGUGUGGGGAGGCGUAGCCGCAGGAGUGACAGCAGCGCAGCAGGCGCGGCCGCGCGCGAGAGAGAGGCACGAUGGUGGGCCCGGCCGAGCCAUCUCAGUGGCAAUGGGCUGAGAUUUCUCGAGUAGGCCCACUCUCGCUACGCUGCUUCUCCAAGCCCCCCAAACCCCAUUCUACUGCUACCGCUCACUCCGUCCGCCCUAAAGAAAAAAAAAAAACUCCGUCCGUCGUCGCGUUCCUCCGCUUCAUCUGCGAUUCCCAUUCCUCAUCGACGUCGCCGUUCCUAGUUGCUCCCGCCGAUUCUCAGAGAUUCUCACAGCAUUCGAUGUUUUUAGUAUCUCCAAGAGGUUGGAUUAAUCCCCAAUUCUUCUUCUCGCCGGCGCGCUGUGCUGGCAAUUAACGCGACGGAUCAGUCGGCGGUCUAGCAGCGACGAGCUCCGCCGGCACCUCCGGUCAACCAGGUGUUCGCUCCCUAGUUUGCACAUGACCUUUUGCCGUGGGUAACGAGGUUGCUUCCGCUAUUCGUAGGGAGGUGAUUACCAGGACAGGAGAAGACGGCGAAGGAAGGCCGAGAUCCAGGGCCGCGAGUGUUGAAUCCAUUGGGGCCUCAUUCCCACAACCAGGAGCUCUGGUCAACUCAGCUAUGCAUGGUCAUGAAGCAGAUGUUGGUUCUCCCACGACGGCUGGUUUUAUCCAUUCUGUCGUAAGCGAAAUCGAACUGAACAUCAGUUUUGGCAACUACGGUGGGGACUUGGAUGCUUCUCCAAGUCUCCAUAGCGGGUCAUUAUUCAACAUGACACUGCACAACCAAAUGAACACAUGUAUACCAGUAUGAUGUGCGGUUGGGAGGAGCCUGAUUUCGAUGAAGCAGUCGGUGCCAAUCGCAGAGCAUGCAGCGCCUGCAGCAAGGUUUCAUCUGUGGAACAGAACGUGAUUGCUGCCGGUGUCGUCUCUGUAAAAAGGCUGAUACAGGGUUUCUGAACUUAUCUGAGUUGUUACCGGAUUCGGUCCACCUAUUUUCCCCCACCACUUUACACAGUUCAACAGAGGCUGAGCUGCAUCAUCAUCAAUGAACUCUUACUCUCAAAUCUAUUUAUGUGCUUUCUUUUGUUCUUGCCUUGAGGUUUUUUCCAUCUGAUAACUUAGCCUGCAAGGGAACAUUGUUGUAGGUAAUAAUGUUUUUUUUUCCUUAUCAUCUGGUGACCAGGUAUGAAUUUUUCUCCUUUGUUUAAAAUUAUGCUUUGCUUCGCUAACGGAGAACCUAUCAAUCAACAUAUACGCCACAUGUAUAUUACUAAAAAGUCAACUGGGCAGAAUACUGUCAGUAGAUGCCAAGACCUGAAAGCAAGAUAAUAAAGAAUCAAAAACUGGACAAGACAAAAUAGCAUUCAUAUCCUCGAGUUCUAAAACCGAUGAGAAUCAAGUGGAUUGCAUAAUGCACUAUGUAGUAGUUGGACAUGAACAAGGUAGCCACUUAUCGUAUAUAUUAUUUGACAAGCAGUCUCCCCUCUCUCCCCUACUCUGUCUGUCUCAUGGAGAAACUUCAUCUGCUAGCUCUGCUUCUUCCCAUACUUCUUGGGUUACCUCCGUUGUACAUCUGUGACAUACUAUGGCUGAGGCCAGAGAGGAUAAGAAAGAAGCUGAGGAAGCAGGGUGUAAGGGGUCCCAGGCCUACUUUGUUCUAUGGCAACACCCAGGAGAUGAAGAGAAUCCGGCAAGAGGCUGUUUCUGCGCAGAAGCAAGACACCAGUAACUACAUAUCCACCCUCUUCCCUCACUUCCUUAUCUGGAGGGAAACAUAUGGUAUGUGGUCAAAAGCUCCAUCCAUGCAUGAAUUUUUUCUGCAGUAAAACCACACCCUUUUGUUCGGUCUUUUUUAACAGUACACAUGUUCUUUGCUUUGAGUUCAUCUCUAGUAUGUUAUUGAUUAGAUUGCGCAUGGAUGUUUUUAUUCUUGUGACAUGGGACUAUAAGAUCACACAGUUUAUAUUCUACAGUUUGUUGAGGUGACAAAUCAAUCUUUCCAGUAUUCGGCAUGACAGUGCCACAAAGCCUACAACACUAUCUUGUACUCCAUAUCGUCUCUGUUUCUGUUUCUAUUUAUGCUUUGUAAACUUCAUUAAUGUAACGCAUCCACCCUAGCAACCGUAUCGUUCAAAUGAUAAAGCUACAUUAUACUCAGUUACAUGUUUUGCACUGUGUCGUGUUGCUCAUAGUUGGUGGCAAACAACAUCCUUAUCAACCUUAGUUGGGUAUGUAGGAUGGUCUCAGUAGUUAGCUCAUAGAUCUUUUUGUCCUGUCCCAUGAAGAUGCUGUUCAAAUAUGCCUUAAAAAAAUGUGUGAUCAGUAGUUAGCUUGUUGCUUAAAAAUGCUGGGAAAAAAAUAUUUAUAUGUUGUUUCAUUUCAUAUCAUAAGACCAUGUAUUUCUAGCCAAUUUAUACACUAAGGAAAUUUAGUCUAGUCGGAACUGUAUUGUACCAAAACAAUUGCCAAAUAUCUAACAUAGAUUUAAUGGUAGGAACAUGUACCCUGCCAGGACUGGGACGUAAGCAGUAAGGGAAGGAGGGGGCUGGGUGAGGCGAUGAGCAGCCGCGCCGGCAGUUGAGCGCCAUCGCGGGAGAGGAGGGUGGCGGCAGCGGCGCAAGGGCAGAGGGCGGCUAGGGUUCCGGCUCCUCUGGGAGCCGGGCAAUAGAGAUAAUAUUCUUAUUGCUUAAUUCCAAAAAGAGUCUUACAGCCUAUAUUUAUAACCUAGACAACUUGCAUAAGAAUUAACCUAAGAUAACUUGCAUAAGAAUUAACCAAAUGUAACUUGUGGGCUAAGAUGCCCGGUGGGCCUAGCUAAACCGGCCAUAACACUUCUCCCCGCCUGCACAAACAGCUCGUCCUCAAGCUGUAAGGUGGGGAAGCGCUUGCGGAACUCCUCGAGGCGAUCAGCCAACGUCCAACACCUUCUCGACAGCUGGGGCGGCCAGGUCAGCGGCGACGGCGUCCUUCGGAAUGUAGUCUGCAACCUCCAGGUAGAAGAGUCGCGGGCAGGCAUGGCCGGGCGUGUAGGGCUCGUUGGCAGUUGAAGCACAACCCUUGGCGGCGAUGCUCGAGGAGCUCGGCUGGGGUGAGCCGGCAGAACGGGCGUCCCGCGGUCGCAGCGAGGGGUGCCGCAGAAGCCUGCGCAGGCCGACCCUGCGCGGAAUCCGGCCCGGGUCGCGACCCAGCGGUCCGGAACGGUGAUUCCUGCUGGAUGGCCACCGCGCGUUCGAACGCGCGGGCGUAGUACAUGGCCGACUGGAGAUCCUGGGGUCCCCGAAGCUCCACGUCCACGCGGAUGUGAUCCGGAAGGCCACCGACAAAGAGGUCGGACCGCUGCUGCGCCGUCACACCCGACGCAUGGCAUGCCAAGGCCUGGAAACGGUCGGCGUAGUCCUGCACCGUGGAGGUGAAGGGAAGGCGGCCGAGCUCCGCCAGGCGGCUCCCGCGAACCGGGGGCCCAAAGCGGAGGAGGUAGAGCUCGCGGAAGCGCUCCCAAGUAGGCAUGGCGCCCUCGUCCUGCUCGAGAGCGUAGUACCAUGUCUGUGCGGCGCUGCGGAGGUGAUAAGAGGCGAGCCAGGUACGGUCCGAGGCGAGGGUGCGCUGCCCGCGAAAGAACUGGUCGCACUGGUUGAGCCAGUUGAGGGGGUCCUCCGUGCCGUCAUACGUGGCGAAGUCGAGCUUGACGAACCGCGGCGGUGUCGGUGUCGGGCCGCCGUGCCGCACGGUCUCAGAGGAGCGGAACUGCAAGGCGGGGGGCGCCUGGUCGGAGUACUCCGGGUGGUGGCCGACGGAGCCGGAUGGCCGGUCGAAAAGUGGGAACGGAGUCGGCUCGGUGGUCGCCGUGGUGUAGAUCGGUGAUGGCGAAGACCCAGCUGCCCACGCUGGAAGUGGCGACGGGGAGGGCGGGAACUGGACCUGAUGAAGCGGGAGGCCGGUCGGUGAGGGUGCCCCCGAGCUAGGCAGGGGCGGCGCCGGUGGUUGUAGCGUCGGUGGCGGGGGGUGGGCGGGGGCGUCGGUGGCCGCGGGGGAGGGUGGCUGCAAGUACUACCGAGGGGCCGCGACCGACGUGGACCCGUCGGGGUGUCCCGCCUGGAACGGCAGCAGCGGCUGCCCGGUGCAAGUCGGCGCGGAGAACGGCUGCAGCGGUCCGGUGGCCGCCGCCUGUGGCAUCUGCUGUAGCGGCCAGGGGCCUGAUGACGGCGUCGGCGCCAAAGGCCAGAGGGGCGCCGCGGCAGCCGGAGGGCCGCCUUGCGGAGCCGCCUGGAACGGCAACAUCCAAGGGGCGCCGUACGGGGAGACGCCCUGUGGCGGCCACGGCGUGUGGCCGUAGGCGGCAACUGGCGCCGUCGGCAGGGGCAUGUAGGGUCCGGCCGCGUACUGCUGCUGCUGCAGGUGAAGGCUCUGGACGGUGGUGACGAGGUCCCGCAGGGUGGCCGUGACCUGCUCCGGUGUGAGGACAACGGACGGCGGUGGCGCAGAGGGAAUCGGGGAUGGUGGCGCGGGCGGGGCCGCGGUGGAGACGUGGCCUGCCAGCGUGGUUGUCCCGGCGGCGGAUGUCGGCAGCGCGGUGAGGGGCGGUGCCGUCGUCAUCGGCGCGGUGAGGGGCGGCGCCUCGUCAUCGGCGCGGUGGAGCCGCUGGAAAACACCGGCGGUGGUGGUGGCAGCGACAUGAUCGGAACUUGGUCUCUGAUUACCAAAUUGGUAGGAACUGGUACCCUGCCAGGCCUGGGACGUAAGCAGUAAGGGAAGGAGGGGGCUGGGUGAGGCAAUGAGCGGCCGCGCCGGCGGUUGGGCGCCGUCGCGGGAGAGGAGGGUGGCGGCAACGGCGCAAGGGCAGAGGGCGGCUAGGGUUCCGGCUCCUCUGGGAACCGGGCAAUAGAGAUAAUAUUCUUAUGGACUAACAACUAACCUCGCAUCAAAAAUGAGCACAUGCACGCCCACGUAUGCACCUGUACAUGCAGACUACUUCUUUGCCAAAAAUAUUUAGUAAGCAUGCAUGCAAAGUAAUAAAAGAAGAUGAUGUCAUCAAAAGAUUCUCUCCAUUUCGAAAUUUCAAAAUGAUUUGUAGCUUAAACCGUUGCUCCGAUGAAAAAACCGUUUUCACAUGAAAGAUUCGUUACGACGAGACCUUCGAAACUAGAUCUCAUGUUGGUAUGUUUCGACGACUUUAUCAGGCUCAUGCUAAGUAAGUUAUCACGUCUCUGGUUCAUAAGUUAUCAUCUUGUUUAUAUAGAAAUUACCGGGGCAUAAAACUGGUCAACCAACCUUCGGCCCACGUGCAAAUAAACUAGAGGACAUAAUAGCCGAUAUCAUCCCAGAUUUCCCCUAAUUUUAGAACUUCAAAAUGUUUUGUAACUCAAACCAUCGGUCCGAUUGAAAACUCAUGUUCACAUGAAAGAUUUGUCGUGACGAGAUCUUUAAACUAGAUCCCAUAUUGAUAUGUUUCGAUGUUUUUUUUUGUAAUAAGUUAUAAGGCCCAAGCUAAGUAAGUUAUCAUGUUUCUAAUAACUAAGUUACCAUCUUGUUUAUAUAGAUAUUACCGGGGCAUAAAAAUGGUCCUCCAACCUUCUCCCCAUGUGCAAAUGAAUUAAAGGACAGAGUAGCAAAUGUCAUCCUAGAUUUCCCUAUAUUCCGAAACUUCAAAAUGUUUUGUACCUCAAAUAGCUGAUCCGAUCGAAAAACAAUUUUCAGAUAAAAGAACGUCAUGACGAGAGCUUCAAAACUAGAUCCCAUGUUGAUAUAUUCUGAUGACUUUUUUGGAUCAGAAGUUACCACUUCUGGGCUAAGUAAGUGUUACCAUGUUGUUUACACAUAUAUUACUGCGGCAUAAACCUGGUUUCUCUAACCUUCUUAUCAGGUCGGGUUAAAGUUACCACGGUGUUUAUGUGAGUUAUCAUGUGUACGAUGCGUAUAGUACCAAACUAUUUACACGAAAGUUAUUGGGGUAUGUUUUUAAACAACCCCGUCACCAAAGUUAUAAGGAUCGAGUCACAUAAUUUAUCAGGUCUGCGAUGUGCGAGUAACCAUGCUAUUCACACAAAAAGUUAUCGGGGGAUAUUUCAUCAACCCCUCCCCCUCCCCCGUGCCAAAGUUAUCAGGUCUGCGAUGUGAAUUACCAUGCUAUUCACGUAAAAGUUACUAGGGGGUAUUUCAUCAACCACCCCUACCCCCNNNNNNNNNNNNNNNNNNNNNNNNNNNNNNNNNNNNNNNNNNNNNNNNNNNNNNNNNNNNNNNNNNNNNNNNNNNNNNNNNNNNNNNNNNNNNNNNNNNNNNNNNNNNNNNNNNNNNNNNNNNNNNNNNNNNNNNNNNNNNNNNNNNNNNNNNNNNNNNNNNNNNNNNNNNNNNNNNNNNNNNNNNNNNNNNNNNNNNNNNNNNNNNNNNNNUCUGCGAUGUGUAAUUUACCACGAUAUUCACAUAGAAGUUAUCGGGGGUAUAUUUCAUCAACCACCCCUACCCCUCAUCGGGCGCCAAAGUUACCAGCGGGUACAUAAGUUAUCGGGUCUGCGAUGUGUAAGUUACCAUGCUACUCACACAAAAGUUACCGGGGGUAUAUUUUAUCACCCCGCCCCCGCCCCACCGCGUGCUCGAAAAUUACCACGGGGUGUACAUAAGUUAUCAUGUCUUCAGAACGCAAAGAAUAUCAUGUUAUUUGCAUAGAAGUUAUCGUGGUAUAUUUUGACAACUCCCCCCCCCCAUCUCCACACCCGCCGCCAAAGCUACCGGGACAAAAGUUACCGAUGUUCGUAAGUUGGUUUUCAACAAUCUGUCCCCUUGGGACAAAAGUUACCGAUGUUCGUAUGUUGCUUAUCAACUCCGUGGUGUGUAAUUUACCAUGUUAUUUACAUAGAAGUAAUCGGGGGUAUGUUUUUUCAACAUUUUUUUAUCGGGUCAAAGUCACCAUGGUGUUUAUGCGUCAAUUACCAGCUUUGUGAUGUGUAUAUUACCGUGUCACUUACACAAAAGUUGUCGAAGAUAUGUUUUCAAUAACUUUUUUCCGGGUCAAAAGUUAUCGUGGUGUUUGUGCAUGGGUUAUCACUCUGUCGUGCAUAAUUUAUCAUGCUAUUUAUAUAAAAGUUAACGGGGAGUCGUACAAAGGCUACGGAAGUAAAGAAUGUUCGAAUACCGGUGAAAUGAACCAGCAAGGUUGCUAGUUCGUCGAUUCACUAUUCGAUAUGUAAAAUAAUCUAUUGAGGUGUUAAAAAAGUCGAACACUUAAUCAACUUCUUUAUGUGACAACAUAGUGGAGGACAAGCAUGUUUCCGUUCAAUUAGCCAAGAAAAGGUUACCUUGUUGAUUUUUCACUCUCAAGAUUAUGUUAUUGUUUGCCUUUUAUCCAUUUGAUUCAAGGAAUCAAGCAUUAAUUGCGGCAUUAAAAUGACACUAAAAAUGGGACGACUGCAUGGCUGUGCAUGGCCUAACGAAGUUCGGAAGAUAAUGCUUCGAAAUUAAUUCCUGAAUCAAUGCAUGAAACGCUAAACCACAUCUGAGGAAAAAAAAUAUUCCUCUAAUUGUGCUGACGUGGAUCGGUGAUUAAAUAGGUCAAGUAGUAUGACUCUCCAUUAUUUUCCAGAAGUUGUUGACGGUUGAGUUGGUCGCUUGGUAGAUUCAAUUUGCUGGACAGCGGAGUUCGAUUCGCGGGAUUAGUGUGUUACUUUUCUCGCCCGCGCGAAUCGCGAACUGUUUUUUUGGACCGUGCGAUACGGAUCGGACGGGGACAGAGUCGUUCGGAUCUGUACCUAAAAUUAGGACGGCAGGAAAAUAGCUUUGUCGUAUUCUUAUUUCUUAAUUCCAAAAAGAAUCUUACAGCCUAUAUUUAUAACCUAGACAACUUGCAUAAGAAUUAACCUAAGAUAAUUUGUGGGCUAAGAUGCCCGGUGGGCCUAGCUAAACCAGCCAUAACAUUUAAUAUACAACUAUUUGGUUUAUGUCAAUGGUAUUCAUAAUACUAAUACUUAUUCAUGCUGCGUUCCUUAUAUUGGUCCAUUCUUCUCACGACAAUGCUAUUGGAUUGUGAAAUUGCAAUAGGCUCGGUAUUCCUCUACUCAACAGGGGCUGUGGAGAUUCUGUUUGUUUCUGACCCUGGCAUGGUCAAGGACAUGAGCCACUGUACAUCAUCUGAACUUGGGAAGCCUAUUUAUAUUCAGAAGUCUCGCAAACCGCUCUUUGGCGACGGCAUCUUGGUAUCAAAUGGUGAUAUAUGGGCCUAUCAAAGGAAGGUCAUUGCACCAGAGUUCUUCAUGGAGAAGAUUAAGGUACUGUGAGAUGCUUAAGAUAAUGCUUAAAUAUGGAUCAAAAUACUAAGAACAUGAUCCAGCCUUAUAGUUAAAUUUCUGCAAAAAGUCAUUAUAAUUACAGGAAUGAUGUUUGCAGAUCAUGAUAGAACUAAUAGUGGAGGCUUCUGUCCCACCGCUAGAAGCAUGGGAGAGCAUGCUUGAUGACGCAGGAGGAAGUAGAGAGAUAGAUGUGGAUGGUUAUUUGCGGAAUUUUUCGGCAGACGUAAUCGCUAGGGCAUGUUUUGGCAGCGAUUUCACAACAGGGGAAGAAAUAUUCUACAAGCUCAGGCAGCUUCAGAAGGCGAUUUCUCAGCAAGAUACACUUGUUGGAUUAUCUGCAGUGUGGUAAGUAUAUAAUAUCUACCAUAAUGAAAAAAGGAAAGAAAAAAAAAGGUGAAAUGUGAUUCUUCACCUGCAUAUUUGACUAUUUGUGCAUGAAUAUCUGUUCAGAAGUCUUUCAACAGAUUUGGGUAAACAAGGUUCAUUCUCAUUCAUUAGACAGGAACCGCUGAAAUUGUGAUGUAAAUAUCCGAAUGUUCUUUUUUUCAAAAUAGUCUGGUGGUUCAAAUUUAGAUGAUGUUUUGCCAUAGGGCAAAGUCUUGUCAUAAAAUUAAGAGUAAGUUCCACAGUUCACCCGCUAGUUGCGAUCUUGUGAGCUGUGACAAAGUUAUUUUAUUUAAAAAAUCUGGCUACAUUUUACUCCUUAGCUGUGACCUUUGUGACGGCUUUUAGACUUUUACCCUAUUUACUUGACAAGACAGUUGACUAGGCAGAUAACUCAGGUUCGUAUUCGCUAGGAGCGUAUUCAGAUAUGGGAUAGGAGCAGUGUGGUGCAGCUAACAGCACCUGUGCAGCAAAAUUUGACUCAAUUUCACAGAAUUUGACUGAAUUGCAAGGAAUUUUUUUUCAUAAGCUGUCAGUCAGCUGCGAAGUCUGUUGAAUCAUAGAUGGGCUUUGGGCCCAUAUAAACAAUAAUUCAUGGUUGAUCUCUAAGGCCCAUGUGGGGUGCAUGACAUGGUGGGGAAUUUAAUACCAUACUGCAGGGGAGAUGACUUUGCAGUUUGGCAAAAAUAAUAAAUAAAAUAGGAUAAAGGAUUCACAAUGUCACAACUUAGGGGUAAAAUGUGGCAAGAUUUUUUAAGUAGGAUAAAAGUUGUCACAGCUCACAACUAGGGGUAGAAGGUGAAACUUAUUUUCAUAAUUUAUAUUGUGUUGAUUACAGGAAGGUUUUGCCAACCAAGGCCAACCGAGAGAUACAAAAGCUGGAGCAAGAAGUUCGGUUACUCAUCCUCGAUGCCGCAAAGGAACACAGCCGUGAAAGCAGCAUCAGCAACAACGACGACAAUGGCAACAAUUGCAUAGAGACUAAACAUAAUGGCUUUCUGCGCUCAAUUGUCAACAGCUCUCGCCAUUGCCCGGCCAGCUACAAUGGCAGCGCCGAGGACUACAUCGUCGACAACUGCAAGAACAUCUACUUUGCCGGGCACGAGACUGCAGCUGUCACCACCACCUGGUGCCUGAUGUUACUGGCCACGCACCCGGUGUGGCAGGACCAUGCCCGCGCCGAGGCUCUAGAGGUGUGCCGCGGAUGCACAAAGCUCGACGUCGACGUCCUCCGGCGACUGAAAACAGUGAGAAAGCAUCCCUUCCGUUAUGCAUCGAUCAGUCUUGAAGAAACAGGCACGCCAUUGGCAUUAUUAACCAUUACAUCCUCUUUCCAGAUCACCAUGGUGAUCCAGGAGACUCUCCGGCUGUACCCUCCGGCGUCACUGAUCGUGCGCGAGGCGCUGACGGACUUCAAGCUUGGCGCCCUUGACGUCCCGCGGGGAACCAUCGUCCAGACCGCCAUCGCGAUGCUGCACCUCAACAAGGAUGUCUGGGGCCAGGACGCCGGCGAGUUCCGGCCGGACAGGUUCACGAACGGUGCCGCGGCGGCGUGCGAGCCGUCGCACAUGUACCUGCCGUUCGGGCACGGGCCCAGGAUUUGCGCGGGGCAGAACCUGGCGAUGGUGGAGCUCAAGGUGGUGCUCGUUCGCCUGCUGAGCAAGUUCGCCUUCUCGCCGUCGCCGGGGUACCGGCACGCCCCGCUGUUCCGGCUAACUAUCGAGCCUGGGUUCGGCAUGCCUCUUGUCGUCACAAAGCUUCCAUGAUCUCUCAGUGCCAUUUGUGGCGAGAAUGUACCGCGCCUGUUGAUGAAAACAAUGACGCCGCCACGUGUUUGUAACUGGCAAAGCAUGCUUUCGUCAGUUGGUACUUUCUGCCGCUCAAGAUUCAGUAACUUGAGACGCAUUGUAAAAACAAGGCCAAUAAAAUAAUUUUGUGUUCCCUGAAGACUGAAGUAGGUGUGUUCUACGCAUGUAAAAUAAUUUUCUCUUGCCAAUAGUCUUGUUGGUCCCUUGCAGCUGUGAUCGAUACUCUGUGCACUCGUGUCAUGUUCUUAAAAAAUAAGGCUCCCCGUUGAUUUUCAGGAAGCUCUAUUUUGUUGAUUUCUGCGGGUAAAUUUAUGGUGAUACAGUACUACCUAUUGUAUCCGCCAGGCUGAUCAUGCCUUUGGGGAUGAAGGAUGGCCGGAAGUUCAAUCUUUCCUUUUCUCCUUUUAGAAUGAUAGUUGGAGGGAUUUUUUUUUUGAAAUAAUGAUGGUUGGAAGUUGAUUGUGAUGUGAGUCUACAUCAGAAAACUGCAAUGCUCACUGUGUAAAGACGUGAAGAAGAAUCAAUGAGCCAGGUAAUAGGUACACGGAUAAAUAGCUUAUUGUUUGUUAAACAACAGCAACGUCAGAAUGGCCGAGUGGUCUAAGGCGCCAGACUCAAGUUCUGGUCCUCUUACGAGGGCGUGGGUUCAAACCCCACUUCUGACAUCACAAUUUUGCUCUUUUUUUCCUGCUAUAUUCUUUUUUCUUUUUUAUAAAGAUGAUUUUUUCCAUUUCUUUUCAAGCCAGGGAUUGCCAAUCCCUUCCCUUGCAGUUUGUUUUGCCCUUUUUUCUCUUGCUAUAUUCUUAUAUAUAUAUAUAUAUAUAUAUAUAUGAAGAUGACGAGCCGUUUAUGCUCCCGUGCACCUUUUUUGCUAUAUUCUUUUUUUUAAUAUAAUUUUGCUCUUUUUUUCCUGCUAUAUUCUUUUUUCUUUUUUAUAAAGAUGAUUUUUUCCAUUUCUUUUCAAGCCAGGGAUUGCCAAUCCCUUCCCUUGCAGUUUGUUUUGCCCUUUUUUCUCUUGCUAUAUAUAUAUAGGGAAAAUCCAUCUACCACCCGGUGGUAGUUACCCCACAUGUCUCAUAUACUACCAUGUGGUACUAUAUAUACUAUUUUAUUAUUUUAAAUAUGUUCAUAUACUAUAUCUAAGAUAUUUCAAAGCAAGUUACAUGAAAAAAUUGCAUAUGAGCCCAUAGUUUUUGUUAUAUUUGUAAAUAUAUAUAUAUAGGACAAAUGUUUCCUACAAGCAGUGGUAGUUACCACCACUUGUGUUUUGUAUGUUGUAUGUAGUAUCUGUCGAAACCGAGAGUAUGUACGUGUAGUAUGUAGUAUAUAACAAUGAUUAGGUAGUAUAUGUACAAAUUUUUAGGUAGUAUGUACCAUUUUUUGAGUAUGCUCUUUUUUACGUACAAAUAUGUACGUAUUUCACAAAUAUAACAAAAACUAUGGGCUCAUAUGCAAUUUUUNNNNNNNNNNNNNNNNNNNNNNNNNNNNNNNNNNNNNNNNNNNNNNNNNNNNNNNNNNNNNNNNNNNNNNNNNNNNNNNNNNNNNNNNNNNNNNNNNNNNNNNNNNNNNNNNNNNNNNNNNNNNNNNNNNNNNAAGCCGUUUAUGCUCCCGCGCACCUUUUCUGCAAUAUUCUUUUUUCUUUUAUAUAAAGAUGAUUUUUUCCAUUUCUUUUCAAGACGGGGUUGUCAAUCCCUUCCCUUGCAGUUUGUUUUGCUCUCUUUUUUCUUGCUAUAUUCUUUUUUUUUCUUUUAUGUAAAUAUGACGAGCCGUUUAUGCUCCCGUGCACCUUUCCUGCUAUUUUCCCAUUUCUUUUCAAACCGUCAGGAUGCUAUGAAGGUAGCCACGAACAAGAAGGCUGGAAGAGCAAUGAACUACACUAUCUUUGGGGCAGGCUGGAUUCGGCCGGAUAUGGGUUGCCCUGAACCGGUUCUGGCCAUGGUCGUGGUCUCUGCUUUGUGGUGCUGCAUGGCUGCAUGGAUGCAUCUAUCUUAUCUACCAAUGUAUCCCUAAAAAAAUCUUAUCUACUAGUGUCUUUUUUUGUGCUCUCUUGGGCGAAAGUCCUGCUCCACCCGGAGCCGGUGGUGGCGCCAUGUGUGGGUACCGCUAACCUUCUUGGAGGCACCGCUGUCAUGGUGGCUUCAUUCUCAACCAGACUUCGGGGGGAAACCCUGCUCUAGGUGCGCUAGGAACAGACAAUAGUGACACAUCCCGCGUCACACCCUUUCUUAAAGACAUUGUCUGGGGGAUGGCUCGAUUGAUUGGUGUGGUGCAUGUUUGUUGUGGGUUUGACGACUGUGGGGAUGCGGCCACAUUGGGGUCGAUGGUGGUUGUUCGGUGGUGUUCUUAAGGGUUUGGCGGCGUGCCUUUGGCGUCGUAGGACGGUCGUCUAUUUUCCCUUGUGAAGGUGCCUCGCCGUUGUUGUUGUGCAUGCUCGAGACCCUCUCGUGGAUGUCAUUGUGUUGCGGCGAGCUUCGUGCUCUUGGUGAUAUCUUGGUUUAUCUUUGCCCAUUGACGGCGGAAGAUGCCUCCCCGAACUUGCUAAUCGUUCUGAAUUUCUAUGGCGGAGCACCAAGCAAAAGUUCGUGUUCAAUGGUACUCGUUGAUUGUGGAUGCUUUUGAGUUGUGUUGUGGGCUUGAUACACACGCUAAUGCGGUGCGUUAGGUUGCUUGCAAAGUUUGGUAUUGUGAUUCCUCGACGAUAUUCCACAUCUACUUGUGUCCUUAUGUCUGCUAGCUAAGCGUGCCUUGUCCUAAGUGUUAUUUUUUAAUAUUUUUUCCCCUUGCUAUUUGUCCGAUUUUUUGUCCAUUUUUUCUCAUAAAUAAGACCAACUUGUUCAGGUUUUUGAGCCGAUUUUUCUUAUAAAUUGGAUUAGUCAAAACCAUGAAAUAACUAUGUGCUUUGGCAGCUUUUGAGCAAUAUAUAUAUUCACAUGGGAGAACUCUCCCCUCGGUGAUUUCCUAAAAAAAAACACUACACUACCAUGUUCAAGUCAUAGCUUAUCGUCAGAUCGGAUACAAAUUCCCAAUCUCGCACGUACGGGUAGAACAAACGCAUCGAUUUUGCGGGAAUCCGCUGUUUAAAUUUCAAUCCUCGGUCGAACCCGGUGAGCGGACGUUCGAACGUGUAGCUGCACACACCAAACCUCCCUGUGCGCUGGCGUGGCUGCACGUGGCGCCUCCUUACGGCCAUGCCUCGCACCCAAUCUUCUCCGGCGAGAUCCGUCGAUCAUCGGGGUCAGAGCUUGGUGCUGCUGUUGCACUGGUGGCUCUGGACGCGCAUCUCCAUGACGGCGACCUCGAGCCUGCACUCGGAGUAUGCCACGGCGCGGCGCCUGAACACGCCGAACAGCAGCACCGUGCCGGGGACGGUGGUGGCGGAUUCCAGCGGCAUCGCCCGGCUCUCCACGUCCUCGGCCAGCUGCCUCGCGCCCCCGGCGGCGGCGAACCGGUCCGCCUCCAGCGUGAGCGCGACCCGGACCUCCGCGUCCCCGCGGCUCGGGACGGCGCCCGGGUCGAUCUCGGCGUCCCCGACGUGGGCGCCGCGGUAGGAGAGGUUGGCGUGGCCCCCGUCGGCGUAGGUGAAGGAGGCCGGGUUGGGGUUGUGGACGGACACCGUGACGAGGAGCGUGAGGUUGAGGCGGAGGGACGGGGUCGGGAGGAGCGCGAAGCUCGGGGCGGCGCCCACGAACUGGGUGGACACGAGGCGGAUGGUGGGGUCGCGGACGCGGAGGACGGUGAGGAAGAGGACGGCGAGGACGGCGGCCAGGGCGAACAGGACGGCCGCCGUGGCGACGAGGCACCGGCGGCGGCGGCGGCCCGCCUGGUGGUGGCUCGCGGAGGACGCCGUGGGGGGCUUGGAGGACGCCAUGGGGGAGCUCGAUUUUGAUUUAGGGGACCCCAUGCCAUGCGAGGAUGAGGAUGCGAUGGCGUAGGCAAGGCCGGGGAGGGAACUUUGACGAGCUGUUGACGAUGGACGGUACCGUACGUGGACAGCACCGCACAGCGUGGUGCCGUUGCGUCUGAAUUGGUUAACAGGAACGAAAAAAAAA
rnacentral:lncRNA from 1 species